ensembl:lncRNA
GUCAAAAUUUACACCCUUUCACGGUCGCCGGGACCCAAAAUGGUCCCCAUCCAAAAGGUGAUAUAGCAAUGGAUUUUAUGAAUUUUUUUUCAUUUUUUUUCACAUCAGAUCUUUUAAACAACUUCAGACCUAUCCACUGAUAUAAAGUUUUUCAUAAUUUUUUUUUCAUUUUUUAUGUUUUUAUGGCUUUAUUGUCAUAAAAACCCCUGUUUUUUGGGGGGUAAAAAACCAUAAUAUGCAAUAUUUUUAAAAAAUGAGUUGCAAAUGGAACUACUUGGCAUGAGGUUAUUAGAGCCUUGGAUAGGUAAAAAAUUCAUAACAGAAUUGAUUUGGAUACUUUAUUAUUUUUGGAGCAAUAAGAGUUUUUCAAAUUUACACCCUUUUAUGGUCCUCGGGACCCAAAAUGGUCCCCAUCCAAAAGGUGAUAUAGCAAUGGAUUUUAUGAAUUUUUUUUUCAUUUUUUUU